AACGUCUUCCUUGUGUUCUAUGUUCGUUGUUUUUUCCUAGUGUUUCCUUGUUUUCCAUUUUCCACUUUUUGGGUUUAGUUUCUUGGAAAUAUGUUGAGAAAGCAGCUCUGCGGGGGAUGGAGAGAAAGACGAGCGAUUAUAAACUGGAUAACUCAAGCUGGCAGUGAUCCAGGAGAUCCUGCAGAACGUGCUGCUUGAACACAGAAACACGAAGGAUCAGUGAAACUGAUUUUGAAUCAAGAUGAGGAAUAGCAAUCAGAAACUCGAGUCUGAGUUCAUGACCCAGCUGUCCCUAAACCGUUCAGCAGAGAGGCUGAUGGCUGCACAUAUGUAAAUAAAAUACA